CACUGGCAAGUAAGUGAAGUUGUUGAAAAGAGAGAGAAAAAAACUGGAGAAUUCCUUUUCCAUUGUUAAGAUAAUGUACCAUUGUUAUGCCAACGCUUAGGCUGUUCAAGCGUGUAUACAGGGAAAUCCUGUGCACGGUGCCUGGUCUGUAUGUAUCAGCCAUAUUGUGAAUGUUUUGUUGACAAGUCUUUGCACUGUGACGUGGUAGCAUUCAUGUGCAUGUCACAGUUGUCCAGCAAGCCACGGUCGAGCGUUACUGAAGACAAUUCCAUUCCAUUACUACAUGUUAUGGCAAAGUCGCACCGAAACCCCUUCGUCGAGAAAGUGCAAGACGUGUAAGUUGACGUAUACACCUGUCGCUCAUCGACUUGUGGCUGGAUUUUGAACAGCUGAAGAUUCGGACUCUCAUUUGAAAACUACUUGUUCACAGAAUAUCGUGAAAUGACGAUCCGGCCAACGAACACAGCUGAUGUCAACAUUGCUACAUUGAGAGCUGACACUCAUCAAUAGCGCCCUCAAUAUCGAAACUAGCUAAUUUGGUACAGUUUUGUGCUACAAAGCAACGUGAAUGUAAUCGGCUGCAGACGAUGCCUUUUCGCGCUUACAUUUAAAAGACCGAAUUGCAAGUCUGAAGGACUCGUUUGAACUCUCCAAAUCAAUAAUCAGGUUAUGUCCAAUUUGCCCAUUUUGGCCAGAACGUUCUUGGGCAUAUAAUUCGUUCUUACAUAAUUAUUCAAAAAUAAUAAUGAUUAAAAUUAUUCAGAAAUGUGGGUCCUCAGAGAAGAGGACUAGGUUCUUUUAGAAA